rnacentral:rRNA from 1 species
AAUACUUUGAUGGCGACCGGCAAACGGGUGCGGAACACGUACACAACCCUCCGAUAAGUGGGGAAUAGCCCAGAGAAAUUUGGAUUAAUACCCCGUAACAUUGCGAUGUGGCAUCACAUUGCAAUUAUAGCUUCGGCGCUUAUUGAUGGGUGUGCGUAUGAUUAGAUAGUUGGUGGGGAACGG